rnacentral:rRNA from 1 species
UGAGGAAUAUUGGUCAAUGGGGCGCAGGCCUGAACCAGCCAAGUCGCGUGAGGGAAGACGGUCCUACGGAUUGUAAACCUCUUUUGUCGGGGAGUAACGUGCGGGACGCGUCCCGUAUUGAGAGUACCCGAAGAAAAGCAUCGGCUAACUCCGUGCCAGCAGCCGCGGUAAUACGGAGGAUGCGAGCGUUAUCCGGAUUUAUUGGGUUUAAAGGUGCGCAGGCGGCGCGCCAAGUCAGCGGUCAAAGUUCCGGGCUCAACCCGGUGUCGCCGUUGAAACUGGCGUGCUCGAGUGCGUGCGAGGAAGGCGGAAUGCGUUGUGUAGCGGUGAAAUGCAUAGAUAUCUGGAAG